rnacentral:lncRNA from 1 species
GGAAAUCUUAAUUCUAAGGAAUUUUAUAGGAGUAAUUUAAUCAUGGCAAAUAUCACGUGCUCACAGCUGCCCCUCUUUGCUCGAAGACACGAAGAGUUUUUGGGCAAAGAUAAAUGAGCACCAUGAAGGAUUUUUGCCUUCUCGGCACUCCAUGAGAAGCAUUUUGAAAACCGUCUGACCGAACCUUGCUUCAAAGGUUGCCUACAUAUCCUUGGCUAGAAGGAAUCAGGUUAGUAUAGUUCUGGAGUGUUUGGUAGUUGGAGACUACCAGGAGCUGCGACUUCACUGUUGUUGUUGCUACUACUGCUUGCUGACCUUCUUAUUACACCAAAAGGAAAAUCAAAGUUAAGCUAUCUAAGCCUAUCAACUAUGAGCUACAAGAUUCCUAUCUAUAAUUAUUCUGAAACUUGAUCUUGAGUCUUAGCUGAUUUUGUUGUAGACUUCAAUCUGAAUCUUGAUGCUCGCCAGUUGUAGGUGCUUGUUUCUUCAUGCAACAUUGGGUCAAGGCAGCUUGUGACUUUGAUCAGAUUUUGAGCAAUUUGCACCCAUGCUUGCCUCACAUUUGGGCUCAUUUCUUUUUGUUCUUUUCUUGUAUUCUUUGUUCUGGAUUGAGACUCAUUAUUUUAGUCAUCUCGAAUCCUGUUUUUUGAGGUAAACCUGCUUAAGAUACCAAAACAAAUGAACGAAAUUUUCUGCCCCAGUUUUUUGCUAGAAAAAUUUCGUGAGUUAGUUAUGACACAUAUCUAAGCAGUCAAAUCAGGAUUGUGUAUCUUUGUGAAUGGAUUCAGGUUAUGCUGGUAAAUGGUCAGGUUAUGCCGGAAAAUAAACAUGGUCACCGGGUUAUACUGGGACGGAAAGAAAAAGCUCACUGGGUAUACCAGGGAGAUCCAUGAGUUAUGCCGGGAUUUGAAAAGAAAAAGCUCUUUGGGUUAUGCCAGGGAGAUCCACGGGUUAUGUCGGGAUUUGAAAAGAGAAAGCUCCUUGGGUUAUGCCAGGAAUUUGAAAAGAAAAAGCUCCUUGGGUUAUGCCAGGGAGAUCCUCGGUUUAUGCCGAAAAAGGUCCACCGGCUAUGCCGGGAUUUGGAAAAUAAGGCUCCUUGGGUUAUGCCAGGGAGAUCGACGGGAUACGCUAGGAUUUGAAAAGAAAAAGCUCCUUGGGUUAUGCCAGGGAGAUCCACGGGUUAUGCCGGUAUAUUGGAAAGCAAAAGCUCCACAGUUUUUGGCCGGGAGAUCCAUGGUUUUUUGGCCAGGAUUUUGGAAAGCAAAAGCUCCACUGUUUUUUGGCCAGGAGAUCCUCGGGUUUUGGCCGGGAUUUUAGAAAGUAAAAGCUCGACGGUUUUUGGGCCGGGAGAUCCACGGUUUUUUUUUUGGCCGGGAUUUGGAAAAGAAAAAGUUCCGCAAUUUUUUGGCCGGGAGAUCCUCGGUUUCUUCGGCCUGGACUUGGAAAAGAAAAAGCUAUAACUACCAUGAUUUGAUUUUCUUUUGGGAUUUUCAUUUUCCAUUUCUUUCCUUCUUCCUUUUUUUUGGGUUUUCUUUUCUUUUUAGAUGUUAUUCCUUUUUAUUUAUCAGGAUGCAUGAAAUAAUAUUUGAGAAAACUUCCUUUUUGGUCAUUUUUCCCGCUGUAGAACUAUUUCAACACUUGCGUAUUUCAUUUCUUUUUGGGUUGCACCUGCUUUUUGCACAACUAUUUUGAAUAAGACCUGUUUUCAACAAAGAACAAUUUGAUAGUUGAAACGGUGGUUGGUUUUGUGUCCUUGAUCAUCUCCAUCGCUUGAUCCCGACCUCAUUUCUAUUAAGAACUUUGCUGCUUGUUGGCUUUGAGGGUGACUUUCUUUCACAGUGACCGGGUUCAGCCUUAGGAUUUCAUGAUGACUCGACCGUGUGGGCUUUGUCCUUUUACUUUAUUCUGCUUUCCAAACCUUUUCCUUUGUCUUUAUUUCUUUUCUAUUGUCUUUCACUUUGGAGGCAAUCGACCAUCAUGAUCAGUCGGGAUUGGACUGACGUACCACUGAGGCUGGGUACUUCCUUUGAUUCUUGCCGGCGGAGCCCUGUGAAACCGGUCCUGCCACUUUUUUCUGUAAUUGUUACGGAAUCAGAGUUAAAUCGAAAGCUAUUCAAAGAAAUGUAUGCAAAAGGCAAGCAUAUGAGUUUAAAGAGAAGCGUCCCUUUCGGGGGAAAAGAAGGACUUAUCUGGGGUGCAUACUGGCUCCAAAUGAACAUGACAUGCUUCUUGGACUGGACGCCCGACCUGCACCAACUUCCAACUUCUCAUGAACCUAUAUUUCCAUAUUAGGGAACCAUGUCAGGACUUUUGGUGAUGAAGUAUUCUUUUUUUGGCCGACAGCGCAAUUGCAGUUUUUCGCCCGUUCGACCUCUCUCAUUUCUCUUCUCACUGUCGCCCAAUAGAGCUCUUUGUGAGUUUUCACUAAGCAGACUCUCUCAUUUUUUUUCUCUACUUACCGUCACCUUAUGGUGCCCGAGCGUUUUUACCGAUAAGACUAUCUCAUUUUAUUUCUCUCAAUUUGAAUUGUAUCAGAUUCCAAAAAUGACAUUUCCCACUUUCCUGUCUUUGCCAAUUGAUCAGAAGGACUUGGACAAGGUCUUUAGGUAAAAGGAUUUUGGGCGGAACUACAACUUUGGAACCACUUCAACGGUCUCUUGGCCGAACCAUUAUAUCAUCUGCCCUAGUUUUGAUUUUGGAGGAAACUUAGAUUUUUAUUUGGUGUGACUGAACCUCAGGGAGAGGCCGCCGACGUAUCCUUUCGUAAUCAAGUCAAACGUAGUUCAGGCAAAUAGUUUUUGUUUUUUGUUUUUGUUUUUUUUUUCUUUUCUUUUUUCCUUUUCUAUUUCUUUUUUCUUUUCUUUUCUUUUUUUCUUUUCUAUUCUUUUUCUUCUUCUUUUUCUUUAUCUUUUCUUUUCUUUUCUCUUCUUUUCUUUUCCUUUCCUUCUUUUUUUUAUAGCACUUCCGGGUUCUAAAGAGAGUAAUCAAAGAAAGGUAACCGGAUCAAAGGGUUUGCGAGGGAUUGAUGGUGUUUGGAUAGCGGGAAUGAAAGCCUUCGUCAUAUCAACUGCGCAAACACAUCACCGGAGCAAGUUUAUACAUAAUAACUUUUUAUUGCAUCAGAGUCAUUUUCUGCGAUGUCACCCAGAUACAGUGCUCCUCCUGGCAACAUUUCCAAUGUUGUAUGGACUUUUUUGAUUAGGAUCGAACUUUCCUUCUGGUUCCAGAUGAUGAGGAAGAAUGCGCCUUAACACCAGUUACUCUACUUCAAAAUUUAUAGGAGCGGGCAAUUCUCUGUUGGUACAACUGCCCGUGACCAACUGCAGCCAUCCAUUUUUCCUUAGUUAAGUACAAACAUUCCCUACGAGUCUAGAUCUACUCAUUGUCCUCAAACUCUACUUCAAGGUGGACCUUUCCCAAACCAGAACCAAUUUUCUUUGGUUGUUCCGAUUAUUUUCUUUUAUUUUCUCAAACUUAACUUCUUCGUAUUUCUUUUGAUUCAUUAUUUCAAAGUCUGACAGAGUUCUUGGGAUCCGGGCAUGAAGUCCACAAGCAUGUCAUGCUAUUUAAAGCUGCAUUAUUAGAAUUAAAGUGAAAUAAAAGAGAAAACAUAGCAAAACUCUGGGGAAAAAUAAAGAAAAUGAACUAUGAAAUAUUGAUUUUAUUUUUUAGAAUUGGUAACAGGGUUGACAUUCAGGAAUUUAAAUAUAGGAAACUAAAGAAAAAAUUCGUCACGCCCUAGAAUGACUCGCGAUGCAGAAAAAGUGGCAGGACAAGUCUACUAGGACUCCCGCCUGACCAGGAAUGACGUAGCCUUCAAGUUUUGAAGCAUGGAGCUUGGUCCCAUGUAUAACACCUCAGCAAUGCUAGUACCUUCUCCUAGCUGGACCAUGUGAGUUUUGCAUGUAUCCUUCCAGUUUUGAAGCUUGGCGCUUGGUCCCAUGUAUAACACCUCAGUAGUGCUAGUGCCUUCUCCUGGCUGGACCAUGUGGGUUUUGCAGAGCAUUUUCCUCAUUGCCUCACGUAUUCCCUCAUUCUCUUCAGCCUUAAAAACCUCAUCAUCUUCCUCUUUGUUGUACUUUGGCUUCUGUGGUAUGCGUCCAAUAACCACUAGCUCAUUCAGCCGAGGUGGUUUGAUUGUCCCCCAUACCACAUAGGCUUGCUUGGGUACAUCAAUUUCCUUUUCCGAUUUUGUCUCGGUGAUAUUACUCUUAUUUUCCCCUUUCUCUUGUUUCGGGGCUACCCCGGGCUUCUUUUCUUCAUCAGCAAUAGCAGUUAUGGCCUUGAGCGUCUGAUCAAAUUCUUUUUCCUCCCAAAUCAUCCCAAUUAACGGCCCGUUGUUGUGAGCGAGCAGCAGAUUAUUGGUCACAUUUGGGACAUCCUCAUCCUUCAACACGAUUCUCCCUUGCUCAAUUAAAUUCUCCACCGCUUGUUUUAGAGUCCAACAGUAAUUUGUAUCGUGCCCUUCUACCCCCUGAAUGAUAGGCACAUCUGACACCCCGCUGAUAUGAUGUUGAUUCCGGGUUUUGCCCGUUUGGAGGUAUGGGUUGCAGGAAAUUCAUCUGGACAAGCUUAGGGAAUAGGGUUCACCGAUCGGUUUAUAGUUAGGUCUCCUGGGUGGUUCCCGGGGACGGAAGUUAUUCUGGUUAAGUCGAGGAUUAUAGUGGUUCUGGUGAGGAGGCUGGUUUCUAUUGGAGUGGAGGUUGAUCUCUGUUAGCCCAUGGUUGCGGUUGGGAGAAAGGUUGAGCGUUCAUGACCGCAUAAGGUGGUGGAGCAUAGACCAUAUUGGAAUGAGUAUAGUAGUGUUGAGGGGUUCUUUUGGAAAACACAGUUCUAGGAGCCAGGUAUCUUCUUUCCCCUGCUGCCUCCAUGGUUUUUUCUUCUGUUGUUCUAUUAUUUUCCAUUCCUUCAUACCCACCUUGAAUGACUUGGAAGGUUGCUCUGAUACCUGACUGACUCAAGAUUCUACCCGUUUUCAAACUUUGUUCUACCAUGUCACCAACUUUGAUGGCCUCUGCAAAAGGCUUGCCCAUGGCCGACAUCAUGUUUUAGAAGUAAUCUGGUUCUUGAGCCUGGAGGAAGACAGUGACCGUUUCUAUUUCAUCCAUGGGAGGCUUCACCCUUGAUGCUUGGUCGCGCCAUAUAAUAGCAUAUUCUCUGAAGCUUUCUGAGGGUUUCUUCUUCAAGUUUGACAAAGAAUUCUGGUCUGGUGCGAUGUCAAUGUUGUAUUGAAAUUGUCGAACAAAAUCUCUAGCAAGAUCCUCGCAAAUGUGCCAUCGAGAUGUGUCCUGAUCCAUAUACCACUCUGAAGCUAUGCCCACCAAGCUUUCUCCAAAGUAAGCCAUUAACAACUCUUCUUUUCCGCCAGCUCCACGCAUUUGGUUGCAAUACUUUUUAAGCUAAGCAAUGGGAUUGUCAUGCCCAUUAUAUUUCUCAAACUUUGGUGUUUUGAAUCCCAUGGGCAGGUGCACGUGAUGGAACAUGCACAGAUCAUACUUUUUAAGGUGAGCAAUGGGAUCGCCAUGCCUAUCAUAUUUCUCAAACUUUGGUGUUUUGAAUCCCAUAGGCAGGUGCACGUGAGGGAACAUGCACAGAUCAGUAUAGGCAACACUCUUCUGGCCGCUUAAGCCUUGCAUACUUUUAAAGCUCUGCUCGAGGCUCCUCAUUUUUCUCACCAUUUCAUCUUGGAGCUUUGGGAGUUUUAUCAUGCCCCGGUGUAAUCUCAUAUGAUGGUGCAUGAGGGUAAGCACAUGCGGGGUAUGGUGGAUCUGCCUGAAAGACAGGAUUCUAGAAAGUGAACACCGAAGGGUCAGAAUCAGGCUUUGGCAAUGAAGGUUGUAUUGUGGCAGAGCAUAGUGGAGUCGUAAAGAUGUUGGGAGCCGUCCUGGGCAUGAAUACUUGGGGGCGAACCUCAGAAGUGCCUCCCACAUGGUGAGCAGAUAUAGUAGGUUGUCCCAUUAUGAUGUUUGGGUGACUGAUUGGAACAUUCGAGGUACCCGUUGGCCUUGGGAGCAACUCGGGAAAUCCAGGGAUGGUGUUCGGGGGUUCUUUUCCAUUUGUCCUUGCGACCCACAUCUCCAUCACCCUCAGACUCAUGAUUCUAUUCUCUACAGCUGCAGAGGAUUCAAAGGCCGGGAUACCUGUCAUUUGAAAUAGAGAUUGUUGGUAGGGUCAUUUCUGACGACAUCUUUGUACUACCUUUAGACCUGGUGAAAUAGUGGUGCGAAGCCAGUUUACCACAAAACCAACCACCUGUUUCUUAUAACCUGGACUCAGGAAUUACAGCAGCAAACGGUUAGUCUUGUGACAAAUACAGAUAGGCAAUCACACACCAACGGCUGCAUGCAUCAUCCCGUCUUUUCUUUUGUUUGCCUUGCUUGUUUUUCUCUUCUUUUUUUUUUUUGUUUUUUUAUGUUUUUCUCAUUUUUCUGCUUUUCCAUUUCUUUUGCCAUGGUUUUCCUUUGAUUUCUCUUCUGCUCUUGUGCUUCUUUUAUUUUUUCCUUUAUUUUGUUCCGUCUCUUUUUGUUUUUCUCUUAUGGUUACGAUCGAAUCCGAUGAGGAUUGCCUACGUAUCGCAACCCCGCACGAAUCAGACCAAGCGUAGUUCGUGCAAAUAAAGUAAAUAAGCUAACUCUUUUUUGUUGAAAUUUUGAAAGAAAUGCUUUAAGGAAAAUAUUUUUGAUUUUGAUUUCUAAUUUUUAUUUUUGUUUUUUGAAAGUAAGACUUCAAAUUUUCCUUUUCCAAAUUUGUGUAUUUUCUAUUAUUUUCUAUCUAAAAAGGACAUCUAAUGAGUAUCUAAAAGGAAAAGUGACUAUUCUUCCAAAAAAAAUUUGUAUAGAAAAACAGGGACUUGGUUUUGCCGAUACGGUCUUUCAGCACUUCUAGAGGAAGAUUUUAAGGUUGUGCUCGCAAAGCAUUUAAAAAUGACUUAGGGUGGCUGUUCUUGCAAAACAGCCUUCCGAUGCUCUUUUGGGGACAUUCGUCUUAUUCUUUUUUGACAAGAAUGGCAUCACCCGACUUAUUCAUAACAAAAUUAAAAUAUUUUGAUAUUUUUGGCUAUUUUUGCAAAUGGAAGGUUGGACCCGAUGAGGGGUGCCUACGUAUCCUACACCCUGUGAGAAUCAAACUGGCGUAGUUCGGUCAGAUUUGGAAUAGAGCAAAUAAACUAACUCUUAUUUUGUUGGAAUUUUUGAAAGAAAUGAAUUAAAAAAAUAUAUAUAUAUAUAUUUUUUAAAUUUUUAUUUUGAUUUUUGUUUGCUUUUUUUUUUCUUUGAAAGAAAGACUUCUAAAAAUUUAUUUGCUUUUGACUUGAACUUGGAAAUUUCAAAAGUAAAAGGAAAAUAUUUUAUUUUUUUGAAUUUUCAUUUGUCUUACCUUUUUCUAAGGAAAAAAAAUAUUUUUGGAUUUUAAAUAUUGCCUCUAAAUUUUCGAAAGAGGGACUUUUAAGAAAAUAUUUUUGGAUUUUUGAGUUUUUAUUUAUUUACAAAAGUACUUCUAAAGAAAAGCGAAAAUAUUUUUUGACUUCAAUUUUUCAACAAUUCUUUUUGACAUUUACGAAGAAAGACUUUUAAACAAGGAAAAAAAAAUUUCUUUUUAUUUCUUUUUUUUCGAAUUUUCUAAAGAAGGAACAAAGGAAAAUUAUUAUUUUUUUGGAUUUUUUUUUUAAAAUUGGGGUCUUAAAGAAAGACUUUUCUAAAGAAUGAAGUAAUGAAAACAUUUUUUGGGUUUUUGAAAACUAGGGUCGGAUCCGAUGAGGUUUGCCUAUAUAUCUCACAUCCGGUGAGAAUCAGACCGGCGUAGUUCGACCAACAACCAUUUUUGGUCUUUGGUAAACAAACUUUAAAAAAAUGUUUUUUCUUUCUUCCAAUUUUUAAAAUUUCGGCAGAGUUCAGAUAUCAUUUGGGCAUUGGGUUUCUCUUUUUCUCAUUUGUCUAACAUCCCCAAGAUUCAAAAAGUGGUCAACAUGCAAGCCCGAGCAAAUAAAUGCACAGAAAACAAGUAGGAUGCAUCAGGGUGAUCUUUUCAUUUCAGGUUGCUAGCCCUAGACGGACCCAAUCCCUAUGUUGAGUCCCUAAGUCAAUAUGCACAUGAUGCAAAUAAGCAUUCCUACUAAGGAUCCGGCAUGAGACUGAGUUAUUCAACAUUCAAAACCUGGGUGUUUGUUCUAGACCUGGCUUACCCGAGCAGACAACUCGAGCAGGGGGGGGCGAAAAUCCGGGAAUACAGAAGUUUCGCCGGCUUUGCGACUUAUCCAAACCUCGUUCUAAAUUGGGAUUUGACACUAGACAGUAAAGAAGUCGUACACCGUACACCCUUCUUCCAAUUCAGAAGACUCAGAGAGGAGACUUGAUUCGGCACAGCUUAUAUACAGUUCACGUAAUAUCAAAGCGGUAAAAGCAAUCAAUUAGCACAUUAAGCACAUAUCAUGUAACAGAAUCAGAUAAAGCUAAACACAACAAUAAUUCUAAGCUCGAUUUCUGAACCCUGAACAAAACAUUUUGGGUUCUUAUUCCCCAGCAGAGUCGCCAGAGCUGUCACACCUCCUUUUUAUACACCUACUUCGAAGGAUAAAUGUAUAAGGGAAUUUUUCCAUUUACAGUGACAUUAUUCGGAUCGGGAUUAUUUAUUCAGAGUCGCCACUUGGGAUACGUUUGGCUUUUGAUUUCCCAAGUCACCAGUUUAUCUUGAAUCCCGAACCGAGGAAAACUUUGACUUCCGAAUGGAGUCUCCGAACCAAAAAUUAUGAAUAAGGAAUUAUGUAGACCCGAGGGAAGGUGUUAGGCACCCUCGGAUCCCGUGGUUCUAGCACGGUCGCUUAAAUUGUUAUGAAUGGCUAAAAUUUGAUUUUAAUACAUGAAAUACCUAUGUGCCAAUUUUACCUGUUUACCGCUUUAAUUUAACAUAAUAUUAAUUUGAGAAAGUGAACGUCGUUUAAAGUGUGUUUUCGGAUUGCGCCGCAUCAAAUGAACUCGCAAUCCUAGGCACGUUGUAUUAAACAUUUUAGGAUUUCGAUUUGGACCGCAUAAAAUGCUCACCCAUAUUUAGGAAUGUAAUUUUAUUAAAAUCGCGCCUACUAGAGUCUAACGCGUUGUAAUAUUUUUGGAGGGCCGUGAAAUUCACUAAACGGCCCUUCCCGAUUUUCUAAAUAUUUUUAACCUUUAUUGAGGACCCCGUAAUUUUAUAUUUUAUUGGGCGAGGCUCGUCUCGUUUAUUUUAAAAAGGGACAUCUUCAAGGUCUUUAUAAUUCCUCUAUUGAAGGUUAUCUAUACUCACUAAUUCGCGUGAAUUUCUUUGCGUUCCAGGUAAGUGAUCAGACUCAUGCUAGACUUACAUUUAAAUGUAUCCAUUGAUUCUUAAAAUAACGAUUUAUAUCACAAAAAUAACCAGGCGAGUUUAGCACACUGUCGUAAUAACUUUAUUCACAUGAGAAGCAAAGUAGUAGAAAUAUCCUGGAAUGAAUCAACACAAAACAAUAAGAUUGAAUAGUCUCCUCCUAGACAACCUAGCUCUAUAUCAUGCAAACAAAUGAUGGAGGAUACAUGUAUACUUCAACAGAAUGUCUGAAGCACACCAUAUGCCUUGAACUAAUUCAGGUUAUUAGUGAUGCCCAAGUGAUUCCCAAUUCUAUGGAUGAACUACUACAGUUAUUUGGACCUUAACACGAACUAUCAGACUCCGUACUUGCCUACUGGUUUCAGCUCAAUGUUAUUGAUACAAUUGAAACUCAUGAAUUUCUAUACCAUUUCCUAAUUUCAGCUCGAACCAAUACUAUAAAAGUUCUAUCAGUUCAAUUAUACAACACAAAUACAAACCAAAAUGAGUUUAAACAAAUACAAAUUAUCUACUACUACUCCACCAGCAACUCAAGCACAUAAAUUCCAAAGAAGACCAUUUCAUUUCAGCUUUCAAUUUAAACAGCUACACUAGGCCAGUUUUAGGCGUGUACCUGAAUUUAAUGGAACAGGAAUAACAGGAAGAGGACAGCAGCAAGCAACAACUCUCAGCAACAACAGAAUUCGACCAUAACCAGCCCAGAAAUAGUGUCUAGGACGCCCAGUAGACAACCAAACACCAAAAGAAAUAGGAAAGACCAACCAAACUAGUUUGAUUCACACCGAAUAUACUUGAAAAUGCACCAGAUCAAUUCAAUAAACCAAAACUCCAACUGAAACUUUAGCUAUUAGAAGAUUUAGGAAAAUAAAAAUUUCAACAUCAAAAUUGAGAGCUGAUCGAGUAACUUCAGAUCUGUGUAACCUUAGAGAAGUGUUUUGAAAUCUCAGGUCUGGAAAUCUAGAGAGAACUUUUCUGGGGGGGAGGGGGGGGGGAUUUUGGGCUCUCCAACUUGUAUAUUGAGGCACUAAUGAUGCCUUUUUAUAGGCCAAAGGAGGGGCAACCCUCACAUUUCUGUUUUCCCUAUUAGUCCCUCUUUAUUUUCAUAUUAGUCCUUCAGUUUUUAACUUGUUACCCAAGUUACUUCAUUAAAAUGCAGAAAACUUACAGUAAGGCCCCCUUCUAGAAGGCCCUAUGGUAUUCUUUUAGCUAUGAAAAGCCUAAACUACCCUUGCUUGAGUCCUAAAAUUACUAUGCCUUAACAACCAGCCCUUUUCCAUGCCCAAAUUACUCUUGGUUAACUUCACCAAACCCCUUACCCCAGUUAAGAAUUAACCAAAGUUAACUAAAUUCAGUUAUAUCCAAUCAACCUAACUUAACAAUGAACUAAUCAAUACUAAGUAAUACUAACAAUGAAUCAACGGCUAAUAAACAACUGAAAAUUGAAACUAAACAAGAUUAUGAACUGAAAUCAACUGCAUCCGAAACAAUAUCAAGCAAAACAAAUAGACGGAAGAAUCCAAUUUAAUUAUCUAAAUCAACUAAAUAGAAACAAUCUAUUGGAAACUCAAUCGAAUUGAAGUAAAUGAAAAUGUAAUGGAAAUAUAAUCUAAUAUCAAGAUAGAAACAACUACAGCAAUAACUUGGCAACAAGAGCAGAAGUAAAAGAACAAAAACAAUAAGGAAACCAAAAUAAGGAAUGAAAUACCUCUUGUUUCGCUCACUAGACUCGAAUUUGCCCAUAUUUAUGGAAUCAUUUGGAACAAAACCGUUUUUAAUCAUGUGUUUUCGAUUAGAAAACACACGAUUUAAGGCAGUCGUGGUGCCAAAUAAAAGAAAUCCGAAUUUGAGAAGCUAGGGUUCUGGCUGAAUUUUAAUCCAAAAUUUGGGAGUUAUAGGCUAUAGAUUUAUGAAGAAAGGGAUGAGGAAGAUAAAUAGUGCGAGUUUUGACCGGUUUGGAGAAAGUAUGUUUUUAGGCCGAAAUUUAGAUUUAAUAUUUGAGAACCUUGACUAGGAAUUGAUAGAGAUGGUUUUGAGGAUUGGAAAGAGGAGAAGGAGAGAAUUCGUGGGUGUGAUUUUGGGUGGAUUUGGAGCAUCGCUGCCGGCGGUGGCGAUUCCCGGCAAGCGGCGGACGGUGGUGGCGGCGACUAGAGACAGAGGAGUGUACGAGGAAGAUACAAAUGGUCCCUAGGGUUUUAGGACAUUAUUAUCUAAUCCUUUAUAUUAAUCUCUAGCCGUUGGACUAGGAGUGGAUGGAGGACUCAGAUUGAUUGGCUUCACUAAAGCAAAACGACGUAGUAUCCCUCCUAUACUAUGUCUUUUUGUCGGUCCCAGAGAUAUGGUCAAUUGGACCGGGUAGAGGUUCACUUGAGCCAUUUCGGCCUGAUUUUUUCUUUUUUGGGUUUCAAGGGUGUUGGGGUGGGAUUUUCAUGAAAAUGGCCCAAACAUGACCAAC